rnacentral:rRNA from 1 species
UGGGGAAUAUUGCACAAUGGGCGAAAGCCUGAUGCAGCAACGCCGCGUGAGUGAUGAAGGCCUUCGGGUUGUAAAGCUCUGUCUUUUGGGACGAUAAUGACGGUACCAAAGGAGGAAGCCACGGCUAACUACGUGCCUGCAGCCGCGGUAAUACGUAGGUGGCAAGCGUUGUCCGGAUUUACUGGGCGUAAAGGAUGCGUAGGCGGAUUUUUAAGUGAGAUGUGAAAUACCCGGGCUUAACUUGGGUGCUGCAUUUCAAACUGGGAAUCUAGAGUGCGGGAGAGGAGAAUGGAAUUCCUAGUGUAGCGGUGAAAUGCGUAGAGAUUAGGAAGAACACCAGUGGCGAAGGCGAUUCUCUGGACCGUAACUGACGCUGAGGCAUGAAAGCGUGGGUAGCAAACAGGAUUAGAUACCCUGGUAGUCCACGCCGUAAACGAUGAGUACUAGGUGUAGGAGGUAUCGACCCCUUCUGUGCCGCAGUUAACACAAUAAGUACUCCGCCUGGGAAGUACGAUCGCAAGAUUAAAACUUAAAGGAAUUGACGGGGUCAUAGC